AGUUCCCUGCUUUGCGCGCGAGAAGAAAACGAAAAAUCUGAACCAACAAAUUUAUAAAGGGAACCUAACUUCGUAUAUGGCACGCACGUCCCCCAUGUAGUGGUAGCGCGGGGAAAGCGUAAAGUAUGCGGGAGGGUGCCCACCUGUAAUUAACAGGUUCACAGAUUUGACGUUUCCACGGCACGGCGGGGACGUU
rnacentral:other from 2 species